AUUGAACGCUGGCGGCAGGCUUAACACAUGCAAGUCGAGCGGGGAAAGGUAGCUUGCUACCUGACCUAGCGGCGGACGGGUGAGUAAUGCUUAGGAAUCUGCCUAUUAGUGGGGGACAACAUCUCGAAAGGGAUGCUAAUACCGCAUCCGUCCUCCGGGAGAAAGCAGGGGACCUUCGGGCCUUGCGCUAAUGGAUGAGCCUAAGUCGGAUUGGCUAGUUGGUGGGGUAAAGGCCUCCCAAGGCGACGAUCUGUAGCGGGUCUGAGAGGAUGAUCCGCCACACUGGGACUGAGACACGGCCCAGACUCCCACGGGAGGCAGCAGUGGGGAAUAUUGGACAAUGGGGGGAACCCUGAUCCAGCCAUGCCGCGUGUGUGAAGAAGGCCUUUUGGUUGUAAAGCACUUUAAGCGAGGAGGAGGCUACCGAGAUUAAUACUCUUGGAUAGUGGACGUUACUCGCAGAAUAAGCACCGGCUAACUCUGUG
rnacentral:rRNA from 1 species